rnacentral:lncRNA from 1 species
UAGUGACUUCUCUUGUUGCAAUUAUAGCAAGUGACAUUUUUCUUUUGUAUUCUUUCUCCAUCUUCUUUCUUCUAUCACUAUCUCUCCAAAUACCUAGCAUUGCUCUUUUCUUGAUCCUUUUGGGAUGCUUCUUGAGUAAGGAACAAUCCGACUCAUAGUGACUCCUCUUGUUGCAAUUAUAGAAAGUGACAUUUUUCUUUCGUAUUCUUUCUCCAUCUUCUUUCUUCUUCAAGCUUUUCUUUAUGAAGAACUUUCUUGAAAGUAGAAUCAUGUCCUCAUCAUCCCCUUCACUUUCUUCUUCUUCAUCUCCCUCUGACUCAUCACUUCCUUCAAAAUUGAUAAUGGACUUG